AUGUCCCACGCGUCCACUGUGGUUCCGGGCGCGCGGUCCGCGCCCACCUGACAGCUGCUCGCUCCGUGUUGUUAGCC
rnacentral:sRNA from 2 species